UACGGAGGGUGCAAGCGUUAUCCGGAUUCACUGGGUUUAAAGGGUGCGUAGGUGGGCAGGUAAGUCCGUGGUGAAAUGUCUGAGCUUAACUCAGAAACUGCCGUGGAUACUAUUUGUCUUGAAUAUUGUGGAGGUGAGCGGAAUAUGUCAUGUAGCGGUGAAAUGCUUAGAUAUGACAUAGAACACCAAUUGCGAAGGCAGCUCACUACACAAUUAUUGACGCUGAGGCACGAAAGCGUGGGGAUCAAACAGG
rnacentral:rRNA from 1 species